rnacentral:rRNA from 1 species
AGUGAACGCUGGCGGUAGGCCUAACACAUGCAAGUCGAACGGCAGCACAGUAAGAGCUUGCUCUUACGGGUGGCGAGUGGCGGACGGGUGAGGAAUACAUCGGAAUCUACUUUUUCGUGGGGGAUAACGUAGGGAAACUUACGCUAAUACCGCAUACGACCUACGGGUGAAAGCAGGGGAUCUUCGGACCUUGCGCGAUUGAAUGAGCCGAUGUCGGAUUAGCUAGUUGGCGGGGUAAAGGCCCACCAAGGCGACGAUCCGUAGCUGGUCUGAGAGGAUGAUCAGACACAGUGGAACUGAGACACGGUCCAGACUCCUACGGGAGGCAGCAGUGGGGAAUAUUGGACAAAGGGCGCAAGCCUGAUCCAGCCAUACCGCGUGGGUGAAGAAGGCCUUCGGGUUGUAAAGCCCUUUUGUUGGGAAAGAAAAGCAGCAGGUUAAUACCCCGCUGUUCUGACGGUACCCAAAGAAUAAGCACCGGCUAACUUCGUG